AACGAACGCUGGCGGCAGGCUUAACACAUGCAAGUCGAGCGCCCCGCAAGGGGAGCGGCAGACGGGUGAGUAACGCGUGGGAACGUACCUUUUGGUUCGGAACAACUCCGGGAAACUGGAGCUAAUACCGGAUAAGCCCUAACGGGGAAAGAUUUAUCGCCGAAAGAUCGGCCCGCGUCUGAUUAGCUAGUUGGUGAGGUAACGGCUCACCAAGGCGACGAUCAGUAGCUGGUCUGAGAGGAUGAUCAGCCACACUGGGACUGAGACACGGCCCAGACUCCUACGGGAGGCAGCAGUGGGGAAUAUUGGACAAUGGGCGCAAGCCUGAUCCAGCCAUGCCGCGUGAGUGAUGUAGGCCUUAGGGUUGUAAAGCUCUUUUGUCCGGGAAGAUAAUGACUGUACCGGAAGAAUAAGCCCCGGCUAACUUCGUG
rnacentral:rRNA from 1 species